CGCCGCGCGGAGGCUGCACCUCGGGUUCGCUCUUCGAUGUCCGUGCCUCGGUUGUCGCAGCUUCGCCGACGGUCUCACUGCGCUGGGCUCCCUCCUGGGCAGUGGAGCAGGAGGACUUCGCGGGCAGGGGGCAUCAUCUCUUCCUAGAGAUGAACUGCGCGCAUGAAGAGGGGUGCUUGGGGUCCACUCCCCUCUGCCCGCGUUUGAGGGGCAGUGAAUCAUAGUGAGCCAUAGUGAUUACAGCUCAGGGGGCCGUGGGUUCGUAUGUAAGCUCUGCUUAGCUGCCAAGGCCCUGGGCAAACCGACUCAUCGUCUUGCCUAGAUAAAAUAAUUUGGAAAACCUAGAGCAAAAUGCUCCCUUAAAACUAGCACACGCAUAGAACACAGUAGACAACCCGGAGAUACAUACUGGCAGAUUUAGAAUGCUUUCCUGCUUAUUGGCUCUGGGAGAGAAAUGGCAAAUGGACAGAAAACCAACCUCCGUAGACGUGUAUAAGAAAUCAAGAGUUUUCUAAGACUAUAACCUGAAAGUCCUAUGUCUGCCUUCUAUAGGUUCACCUUUGGGGAUUUCAGACUUUCGGUGCUGUUGGAGUCCUCCGCCGGAGUUGGGUCGGAUUCCACCGCUUCAGGCUCCGUGUAAUACUCCUCUUCUCUAUCUGGGAAGCUUGCUCCAGCGCUGUCCAGAGAGAAGAGGCUCUCCCGGAGAUUGCACCUGGAGUCCUCCUCCCCUCCAGCCCCGCAGGUGCCGCCGCUGGGCUCUGAGCUCAGUCUGUCCUCGGCUUCCCCAGGGAUCACAGACAACAUCACCAUGUGGUCGCCAUCUGCGUCCAGCCCCAGCACUGCAUCGGCCUCUUCUCUGGGUGUGUCCUGGCCCACUGGAGGCUCCUCCUCACUCAUGUACACAGCCCCCACCUGGAAUGGGUAUGCAGGCUGCUCCUCUGCCCAUAAGUGACCUCUUUUCUCUGCAACCAAAGCACACCAGCAUGUUCACAGUCGUGUAUGACUUCAAAAUAAAUGAGUCCAAAAGAAUUACAGUUUUCAAGUAUGAAAUUUUCUCCUACAGAGAAAAAAGUUACCUUCCCAUUAAACUAUCAGAGAGCCACCCAGCAUUCUCCAAGUCUUGAAGAAAAUCACAAGGAGGUACUAGAUUAAUGAAUGCCAAUAAGUGGAAAAAUACAUAACUUCAUGUAAAACCCACUGCUUGCCAUGUGGAUUAUAAGCAAAAACAUUCCAGUGCAGACAUCCAAUUAGGAAAAUAUAAUACAAACACCUUAACAGUUUCACUUGUUUGAUGUCAAUAUCCAAGAAAAUAAAUGAUGGCUUUAUGGAAAA